GUCCUACGGGGGGCAGCAGUGGGGAAUCUUGCACAAUGGGCGAAAGCCUGAUGAAGCAACGCCGCGUGAGAGAAGAAGGCCUUUGGGUCGUAAAGCUCUGUCCUAAGGGGAGAAGGAAGUGACGGUACCUUAGGAGGAAGCCCCGGCUAACUACGUGCCAGCAGCCGCGGUAAUACGUAGGGGGCAAGCGUUAUCCGGAAUUAUUGGGCGUAAAGAGUACGUAGGCGGUUUUUUAAGCGCAGGGUUUAAGGCGAUAGCUUAACUCUCGUUCGCUCUGCGUAAUGGGGGACUUGAAUAUCGGAGAG
rnacentral:rRNA from 1 species